UGUAAUUAUAAUAGAAGCUAAUGAUAUAAUAUUGAUUAUAUUAAUCAAAUAAAGUGGAUUUAUACUUCAUAAACUUUGGAAAUAUAAAAUCUAGUGAGCAUUACUAAGGAAUGAAAAAGAGAAGCUAUGGAGUAUGAAAUAAUGGUUGGUUAAGUAACAUUACCUCAAGAACAGGAAACAGUAACUGAAACUAUGUUCUUCUACAUUUAAUCUUAAUAAGUUCAGCAGUUUGAAUGUUAAUGAGACAUUAUCAUAAACAAACUGCAUUUGUAGAUUUUGGGAAGAAUUAUAUCUUUACAAUAACUAUUAUUAUUUACAAUUGUUGUGUUAAGGAAACAAUCACUAUUUUUUUAAUCGCCCAGGAUGUAUUCAUAGUAACUGUAGGUAUCAUAGUAAUUUUAUGAAAUCAUCACAACAUCUAACAUUAGGUUUUAUGAAUUGAACAAUUUUUUGUAUAUAACAGCACACAAACAAGAUAUUGACAUUGCU